UACGUAGGGGGCGAGCGUUGUCCGGAGUUACUGGGCGUAAAGGGCAUGCAGGCGGUCGGACGCGUUUCGGGUGACAGCGGGUGGCUUAACUACCCGAGUGGUCGAAAGACGGUUUGACUUGAGGACGCGAGAGGGACACGGAAUUCCUGGUGGAGCGGUGAAAUGCGCAGAUAUCAGGAGGAACACCGGUGGCGAAGGCGGCAUCCUGGACCAAUUCUGACGCUGAGGAGCGAAAGCCAGGGGAGCAAACGGG
rnacentral:rRNA from 1 species